CUUAGGUUUUUCAUUGUUAACAGUUUUUGGUGAUGACAAUUUUAUGAGAUCAAUAAAAUUUUGAAAAUUAGUUCUCUUUCCAAUGAUUGGUCCUUAUUUUAUUCUUUAUUCUUGUUUGCUCUACAUCACUCCUACUCUAUUUAAGACUUAUUAAUGUUUUCCUACCUUGUCUAGGAUUCAGAUUUCUUUCAAUUUUAUUUAGGAUUUCCUAUUAUAUUUUAGUGUAUUUAAAGUUCCUACUUAGUAGUUUCAUAUUCCUAUUAAGUAUAGGAGAUUAAUAUCUAUAAAUACUCUUAUUUACAUGUAAUUUAGAGAUUGAUUUUUAUCAAUAAAAAUACUGCUGUGUCAAGUGGUAUCAGAGCGGGAGAAUCGCCUCAAUCAAGAUGGCUCACCUUGAUA
rnacentral:misc_RNA from 1 species